rnacentral:rRNA from 1 species
UACGUAGGGUGCAAGCGUUGUCCGGAAUUAUUGGGCGUAAAGAGCUCGUAGGCGGUCUGUCGAGUUGGAUGUGAAAAUCCAGGGCUCAACCCUGGACCUGCAUUCGAUACGGGCAGACUAGAGUUCGGCAGGGGAGACUGGAAUUCCUGGUGUAGCGGUGAAAUGCGCAGAUAUCAGGAGGAACACCGGUGGCGAAGGCGGGUCUCUGGGCCGAAACUGACGCUGAGGAGCGAAAGCGUGGGGAGCAAACAGG